GAUGAACGCUGGCGGCGUGCCUAAUACAUGCAAGUCGAGCGAACAGACGAGGAGCUUGCUCCUCUGACGUUAGCGGCGGACGGGUGAGUAACACGUGGAUAACCUACCUAUAAGACUGGGAUAACUUCGGGAAACCGGAGCUAAUACCGGAUAAUAUAUUGAACCGCAUGGUUCAAUAGUGAAAGACGGUUUUGCUGUCACUUAUAGAUGGAUCCGCGCCGCAUUAGCUAGUUGGUAAGGUAACGGCUUACCAAGGCAACGAUGCGUAGCCGACCUGAGAGGGUGAUCGGCCACACUGGAACUGAGACACGGUCCAGACUCCUACGGGAGGCAGCAGUAGGGAAUCUUCUGCAAUGGGCGAAAGCCUGACGGAGCAACGCCGCGUGAGUGAUGAAGGUCUUCGGAUCGUAAAACUCUGUUAUUAGGGAAGAACAAAUGUGUAAGUAACGAUGCACGUCUUGACGGUACCUAAUCAGAAAGCCACGGCUAACUACGU
rnacentral:rRNA from 1 species